CAUUCUCUCAUGUCCUUCAGGUGUAUGCAUCAUUUCUGCUCACCCUAAUGCAACAGGAGGUCUGUAUGAGAAGCAAACAUUCCAUUAUUGGUCCACUUGGAAGCAGUGAAAGGCUUUGGGAGUGGUCAAGUGCUUUCAGAGCAGGACCCAGCUGGCAGAUGGCUGCAGGAGUCAUCUGAGGAUGCUGAGAGGAACGCAGGAAGUCAGCCUUUGUGUCUUGCUGGAACAUGAUGUGCUCCCAAGCAGUAGCCAGGGCCAACUCACACUGCUGUCCACAUCGUCCGGCUCGAGUCCUCUGUGGACUUGUGUUCAGGGAUGAGUAGGAUGAGAGCUCUUGCCUCUCAUGAGCUGGGCUCCUCUGUGGGAUCCGUGUCCUGUUUCAGCAGGUGAAGCUGAAGCACCCAGCAAGUCUAGACCUCUUAGAACCUGCUCUAGACUGAACACCCAAGAGAGCACCGGCAGCUCACACCUGUGGCCACCGGGCCAGGCCGGGCCUGGCCUGCGAGAAUUCCAGCACCAGAAGGACUGAUAAGAGACUGAGUGAGCUGGGCUGCAACCGAGAAAGAGUUUUCUCAAUUAGUCAUCUCUUUUAGAGCGGCAAGGAGUUUUAUUGCUUUAAUAUUGUUAGGUUCUAUUGUUUAAUAAACAGCUUUUUUCCACUUUUCUUCAAAGAAGUAUUUUCUCCCAGACUAGUUGUAAAAAAAAAAAGCCAAUUAAAUUUAUCCUCCUACUAAAGCCCCUCUAGAAACUCUCUC